UCAUUCAUUGGUUGGCUCAUAAUCAGUGCUGCCAAGUGAUAUGAAAAGUACUGGGAAGAGGGAAUACAAGAAGUGAGCUGCAUCCACAGAGGUGUGUGUGAUAAAAGGCUCUGCUAGCACGCCAGGAUUCAGGAAUUCCCAAAAGAAAGUUUUUGUUCAAAAAAACAGAGUGGGAGUACAGUGCACUCAGCUUCGUUGGAAACUGUCUCCACCUGCAACUAAAAAGAGUCAAAGCUGGCAAUGUGACCCUGCUGCUUGACAUGCACUUCAGUCUACUUGAAUUCUAUGGAAAAAUGUAUCUUUCAUUAAUGAUACAGAAAAGGAAGGAAAAACAGAGCAUUUUAAAUGUAAAGUAUCAAGAAACACAAGACCAAUGCUCAGCCUGCUGCAGGACUCCAGCCGAACUACCGUGUAGUGCACUCACCCCAGAGGAGCCUGAGGAGUUGCUGGGACAGCUGUCUGCUGUUUACCCGGAGAACACACAGAUUACAGAACCCUGCCAAUGGACCGUGAGAGGAAGUAGCCCAGGGAAACCAG